rnacentral:rRNA from 1 species
AUACAGAGGGUGCGAGCGUUAAGCGGAAUUACUGGGCGUAAAGCGCGCGUAGGCGGCUUAUUAAGUCAGAUGUGAAAUCCCCGGGCUCAACCUGGGAACUGCAUCUGAUACUGGUAAGCUAGAGUUUUGGAGAGGGAAGUAGAAUUUCAGGUGUAGCGGUGAAAUGCAUAGAGAUCUGAAGGAAUACCAGUGGCGAAGGCGACUUCCUGGCCAAAAACUGACGCUGAGGUGCGAAAGCGUGGGUAGCAAACGGGAUUAGAAACCCGAGUAGUCC